rnacentral:lncRNA from 13 species
GUUUGAGAUAAACAAAGAACCAGAGUCCUAGAAGGGAUCCAUUAACAUUAAUAAGUUGCAGAGAAGAGGAAUCAGUGGAGGAGAUUGAAAAGAAGCAACCAUUGAAGUAGCAGGAAAAGAGACUGAGGCGAACUAGGAGCCAAAUGAAGAAAGUAUUUUAAGGAAGAGAGAAUGGUCACUGCUACUGAUUAUCAAACAAUAUGAGGACUCAGAACUCAUCAUUGGGUUUAGCAGUCUUGAGGUCAUUGCUGACCUGACAAGAAGAGAUUUCAUGAAUUGUAAUGAAAGCUUGACUGGAAUGGGUUUAAGAGAGAGUAGGAAGACACUAAUGGCAGCUCCUUUGAAGAGUUUUACUGCAAAGAGAUGAGGUCUUGCUAUGCUGAGAAGGCUGGCCUCAAACUCAUGGGCUCAAGUGAUCCUCCCAUCUUGGCCUCCCAAAGUGCUGGGAUUACAGUCAUGAGCCACCAUACCCACUGACAAUUUCAAUGUAAUAUGACAAGCGCUCAGUUUGCACAGUGCUCAAGGCACAGAGAGGAAUCAAUAAUCCAGCUUGUGAGGAAGGGAUGGUGAGAGAAGACUACUGAAGGGCAUGGCCCAUAUCCUAAGCCUGGAAGGAGAAGGGAGAGCUAGCCAGACCAGGAAUAUGACUG